GGUGUCCCUUUCGCUUUCCCUUUGCUUCUCUCCAACCGCCAACUAGACUUCGCGCGGGGAAGAGGGCGGUUUCCUGGACGCAAAUCUGCGCCCGUGCGCGUGUCCCCGGGCACUCGGGCACCUUCCUGGGUCCGCGCACAGGUUGCGCCGCCUGGCCUUGACCCUGGCCUUGACCCCUGCGGCCCCGCACCUGCCCCGGCGGGCGCACCGGCAGGUCACCUAGCAGAUGAGUGGCUGAGGCGCCCGCGGCCGGCCGAGGAGCCCCGCGCGCCAUGCCCUCCCGGCCGGACUGGCCUCCGGUACCCUGCGCGCUCCGGCCCUCGCCCUUCCCGCACCCGGCGCUGCACGCCCUGCACGCCCUGGCCCGCGCGCUGCUCUUCCCCGCCUACUGGGCCCUGGACCAGCUGCUGGGGUGCUGGGCCCCCAGGGCGCGCCCCAGCUUGCUGACGGCGCUGCGCGUGGCCGUGUGGGCAGGGGCGGCGCUCCUGCUGCUGCUGCUCGGCCUGCCGCUGGCGCUGCCGGGCCUGCUGCUUUGGCUGCCGCUGCAGGCCUGGCGCCGCCCCUUCUGCUACCAGCCCCCCCCGCAGGGCUGGGCGCCCCCCGCGCCCUGGCGCCCCCCGGCGGAGCCCGCGCGCUGCUUCGGCUUCCUCAGCGCCAACCUGUGCCUGCUCCCCGACGGGCUGGCGCGCUUCAGCAACCUGCGGCACACCCAGCGGCGCGCUGACGCCGCGGGCGCCUUGCUGGUGGCCGGCCUGCGCGCCGCGCCCUCGCGCUACGGGGCCACGGGCUGCAGCCCGCCCCCCGAGCCCGUUGCGCCCCCCGGGGUGCUGACGGCCGCCCUGCCGCCGGGCCUGGACUUCGUGUGCCUGCAGGAGGUGUUCGACCUGCGCGCGGCGCGGCCCCUGGUGAGCCGCCUGGCCCCCCACCUGGGCCCCGUGCUGCAUGACGUGGGCACGUUCGGCCUGCAGCCCGGGCCGCACCUCAAGCUCCUGGGCAGCGGGCUGCUGCUGGCCUCGCGCUACCCGCUGCUGCGCGCCGCCUUCCGGGCCUUCCCCCAGGCCCGCCGCGAGGACGCGCUGGCCUCCAAGGGCCUCCUCUCUGCACAGGCGCAGGUGGGCAUCCUGAACGGGCGCCGCGUCGUGGGCUUCCUGCACUGCACGCACUUGCAUGCCCCGAGUGGGGACGGACAUCUGCGCUGCAAACAGCUGACGCUGCUGCUGAACUGGGCCGAGCAGUUUGAGGCCGAGAGCCGCUCCAGCGACGAAGCCGUGGCCUUCAGCGUGCUCCUGGGGGACCUCAACUUUGACAACUGCUGCCUCAGUGAGGGCGCCCCGGGGGGCGGCGCGGGGCGGGGCGGGGCGGCGCGGGGGUCCCGGCCCCGCCCACCCAGCGCCGGCCUUUCUCCGCAGACGACGCGCGGGAGCAGGAGCACCAGCUCUUCAGCCGCUUCCGGGACCCCUGCCGGCUGGACACCCGCCGGGAGCAGCCCUGGGCCCUGGGUACGGCGCUCGGGCGGGGACAGACCCAGGGAGGAGGGCUCGCCGGCCCACGCGCGCUCCGCUGACCCGCCUCCCCCGCCUCCCUCCCCCAGGAACGAUGCUGCGCACGUCCAGGCUCCACCACUCGGUGGCCUGCUCCCCGGAGAUGCUGCGGAGGGCCCUGGAGCAGGAGCGAGGCCGCCACCGCUACCUGGCAGGCCCUCCGCAGGGGGGGCGCCGGGCUAAGCCCUGGCGGGGCCGGCGCCUGGAUUACAUCACCUACCGGGGGGUGCCCGGAGGCCCGCUGAGCCCAGAGGUCGAGCAGGUGACAUUCAGCACCGCCCUGGCCGGUCUCACUGACCACCUGGCCCUGGGACUUCGGCUCCGGGUUUCCGCGCACGGAGACGCGCAGGAGACCGCCGCGAGGCCCGGGGCGAAGGCGGGCACGGAGGCCAAG